rnacentral:misc_RNA from 1 species
CUUUCUUUUUAGGUAAAAAAAAAAAAGAUGUUAGAAAAGGAUAUCAACAGAAGUAUGCCAUAAAUUAUACUCAGAUACAACCAUUAAUAGCAUCAAACUACCUACAUUUGCCUGCAAUGCCAAAAGCCCAAAACUGUAUUCCUAAGAUCAUAUUUCAAAGUUGCCUGAAAAACCCAAAACUCUGUGUGUUUAACAAAACAGAGCCAACAACACUUAGGUCACUCACAAGGCAUUUCAUAACAAUUCUCAUUCUGCAGCCACAUCUCGGCUAUUAAUGCCAUCUCCGCUAUUCUCUGGCAGCGUAUCCAGAUUUAUGCGGGCCUCUUCUUGGCCAACUGAAGAAUCAGAAGAAUCAAUGUGGUCAUGAAAAACAGCUUCAGUCCCAUCUGUUGCAGAAGAGCCUUUGUUUUCUUCUGUUCCACCUAAUUCAUUCUUCGCAUCUGAGUUCCCAUCCAUGGCCGUAUCUGCUGUCUCCUUCGUUGUUGAAGAUGACCCAGAAUUGACCUCAGCGUCAGCUUUAACUUCAGGUUUAGUGACCUUAUCUGAUCCAUCAGGCUUGACCUCUGCUUCAGCUUUAACUUCAUUUUUAAUCAACUUAUCUGAUCCACUGGGCUCUGAAUUAGUAGAUGAAUUUGAAUCUUUAGCACUGUUGUCAAUAUUCUCAGUUUUAUCAGGGACAGAAGAAUUAGAAUCAGUUUCUCCGCUAUCUGCAAUUGUGUUGCUAUUGACCUGUUCCAAUUCAUUGGUUUUCAGGUUAGAUGCUUCCUCAGUUGCAAUUUUUGCAUUUUGAGCUUGAUUUGAAUCAGAUGUAACUCCUAUUUCAUUAUGCUGGGAUGAACUAGAAGUCUCAUUGCCAGCUUCUGUAUUUACAUCCAUGGAAUUAUUGCUUAGCUCUGGUUGGCCAUUUGAAACAGGAACAAUGGUUGCAUUUUUGGUUGACUGAUCCUUGGUGUUGAUGAUCUCAUCAUCCAUCUUUUCACCAGCUUUCAUAUUCAGUUGAGAGUCAUUCUCAGCCGUUACACCUUCUCCAAGCUGUGAUUUUGAGUUUUUUUUAUCCCCAUUGACAUCGUUGGUGUUAUUGUUGUUGGAAUUCUUCUCCAGCUCUAAAUCAUUUGCUUCCAAGUUCUCUGAACUCACUUUCUCAGGUUCAGUGCUUAUAGUUUGGGUAUCAUGAACAGCACUGGAAGCAUCAUCUGCCUUGUAAUGUUCUUCUCGAGCCUCAUGAUCAUUCUGCACGCCUUCAUCGUGAUCUUGAUCCUCCAUUGAAGUUUCAUCAUCCACUUGAGCCUCCUUAUCUCCUGCUUCGUCAUGUCCACUUUCCUUUUCCUCCCCUUCUUCCUCUCUCUCUUUCCC